rnacentral:rRNA from 1 species
UACGAAGGGUGCAAGCGUUAAUCGGAAUUACUGGGCGUAAAGCGUGCGUAGGCGGUUUGUUAAGUCUGUUGUGAAAUCCCCGGGCUCAACCUGGGAAUGGCAAUGGAUACUGGCAAGCUAGAGUGUGUCAGAGGAUGAUGGAAUUCCCGGUGUAGCGGUGAAAUGCGUAGAGAUCGGGAGGAACAUCAGUGGCGAAGGCGGCCAUCUGGGACAACACUGACGCUGAGGCACGAAAGCGUGGGGAGCAAACAGG